AUACUUACCUGGCAGGGGAGAUACCCUGAUCACAAUGGUGGUUUUCCCAGGGCAAGGAAUAUCCACUGUAUUUCGGAUUUGCUGACCCCAGUGGUUGGGGAACAUUGUUCAUGCUCACCCCUAAAAAAA
rnacentral:snRNA from 1 species